rnacentral:rRNA from 1 species
AAACUAACAAGGAUUCCCCUAGUAGCGGCGAGCGAAGCGGGAAGAGCUCAAAUUUAUAAUCUGGCACCUUCGGUGUCCGAGUUGUAAUCUCUAGAAGUGUUUUCCGCGUUGGACCGCACACAAGUCUGUUGGAAUACAGCGGCAUAGUGGUGAGACCCCCGUAUAUGGUGCGGACGCCCAACGCUUUGUGAUACACUUUCGAAGAGUCGAGUUGUUUGGGAAUGCAGCUCAAAUUGGGUGGUAAAUUCCAUCUAAAGCUAAAUAUUGGCGAGAGACCGAUAGCGAACAAGUACCGUGAGGGAAAGAUGAAAAGCACUUUGGAAAGAGAGUUAACAGUACGUGAAAUUGUUGGAAGGGAAACGCUUGAAGUCAGACUUGCUUGCCGAGCAAUCGGUUUGCAGGCCAGCAUCAGUUUUCCGGGGUGGAUAAUGGUAGAGAGAAGGUAGCAGUUUCGGCUGUGUUAUAGCUCUUUGCUGGAUACACCUUGGGGGACUGAGGAACGCAGUGUGCCUUACGGCGGAUUUCUCGAGAUCUUCACACUUAGGAUGCUGGUGGAAUGGCUUUAAACGACCCGUCU